ACGAACGCUGGCGGCGUGCUUAACACAUGCAAGUCGAACGGUGAAGCGCCUUCCUUUUUGGUGGGUGUGGAUGAGUGGCGAACGGGUGAGUAACACGUGAGUAACCUGCCCCCUUCUUCUGUAUAACCGCAUGAAAGUGUGGCUAAUACGGGAUAUUCUGGGUCUGUCGCAUGAUGGGUCUGGGAAAGAUAUUGUUUCGGUGGGGGAUGGGCUCGCGGCCUAUCAGCUUGUUGGUGGGGUGAUGGCCUACCAAGGCGGUGACGGGUAGCCGGCCUGAGAGGGUGGACGGUCACACUGGGACUGAGACACGGCCCAGACUCCUACGGGAGGCAGCAGUGGGGAAUAUUGCACAAUGGGCGCAAGCCUGAUGCAGCGACGCCGCGUGAGGGAUGGAGGCCUUCGGGUUGUGAACCUCUUUCGCCAGUGAAGCAGGCCUGCCUCGUUUGUGGGUGGGUUGACGGUAGCUGGAUAAGAAGCGCCGGCUAACUACGUG
rnacentral:rRNA from 1 species